UUCUGAUCUUAACCAUUCUGUGAUUUUAUAGGACACUUCAGACUUUUGGGGACCUCCUGUUCAAACCAAAGCCAACUUAAAAGUGUAUCUGACCAUGAAGGUUGGAACAUCCAGGCAUUUGAAAAUGUGGGACAUACAAACCUCACAACAGAUGACAUGAUCUGAUGCAUCACUAAGACAUCAAGGAAAAUUAACCUUAGGAUGAGUCUCAAGGUCUAUGCAAUCAGUCACCAUUCCUGCACACAGGCAGACUGUGAAGAAGCUGUUUCUAGGACUCUGCUGCUUGACAAGUCCCUAAAAUGCAUUAUGGAAUUGCAAGCUAAAGCCAAGGCAUACCCAUUCAGGAGUGACUCACUGUGCAGCCUCGGCAAGUGUCUGUCUCAGUUCAGGAAGAGGUGAAUGGGGCAGUGAUAGCUCUCAGUCUCAUAAAACACUUCAAGAACUUCCUGUGAAAAGGAGUAGCUCUGUUGCUACAAUCUCUUACCUGCCUCCUUCCUAGCCCAGUAACAACAUAGAAAGAGCAAAGGACAAAAGCCCUGCAGAAAACAAACUCACUCUGCUCAGCAUCUAUUUAUAUCAGAUGUUGGAACCCCCACCCAUCCCUUCCUGACAGAUCUGUAGAGAUAAAGAAGCUUUUACAACGUCCUGUUUUGGCUGUCUUCCUGGUCCUAGAUAAAAGUGGAGGUUACAGGAGGACUUUGGUGAUCUGCUCUGGGUGAGCCAAAGUGCCUUGGUUCUGGUUGGUGCAAGAUCAAACCCUCCACAGGGAGCAGUGUCAAGUCCUGCAGGUGGCUUUAUUCCUAAAGUGCUGGGCUGUGCUGCUGCUGAAGCCUCCUGCUCCCCUUGCUCCCAAGACCUACUUCUGGACUUAAGUGCUGCAUCAGGAGUAAUCACCUACCUAAAACACUUGUUGAAAAGAAGAAAAUCCCCUUAAAAGGCUGGAACAGGAAAGGUCUGAAUUCUAUAUUUCUUCCUCCUUCCUCAGCUAUUCACCAUCAUCCUGCCAGCUAUGUUCCCCCACACACCUCAAGCUGUACUUUGAAGAACAAUCCUGGCAUGUUCCUGUCACAAGGAGAUGGCUCUUACAUUCUUGUAUGAUGAUUCUAAUUCCUUCUGGAUGUCCAUCCUCUCAGAAUACUGGAGUGUAUUGCUGUGACCAGUACAAACUAGAUGCCAAAUGCCUUUCCUUUUCCCACUUUAAUAUCAAUGGCUUGCAAUUAUGCAACAUGACCCAGGAGCAGUUUGUGGAUGCUGCACUUGUGGAGAGCACUUGUAUUUCAUCUUACAGAAUUGCAGGAUGUAUGGUUAGUGUUCCAGAAAUCAAACUCAAAACAUAAAGCAUUGCAUUUCUGUGUGAGUUUAACAAAAAAAAUGUGGAAUCCACAUUCCUGAGCACUGAAAAAAAAGGCAAAAUUCAGAGGCCAUUUAGAUACUACACGAGGAGUUUGCAGAAAUAGGGCAGGCAGACAAUAAUCUCACUGCAAGCUUUGGCCUCACAAUCACACACAGUCCUGGCUCAUCCUUGUGAACCAGUCAGAUCUCCAAAGGGACACAAGUUCUGCUCUCCCCCUUGGUUUUCUACUCAAAGUGGUCAACCUGAAUGCUCCAAUGGAGGUUUGAAUUCUGACAGGAUACACAAAGACACAACACAUUGUUACUCCUGUAACUCGAAGUGAUAAAGAUUGGUCUGCUUCUUAAAGAGUAAAGGAGAAGUUUUUCUUGA